rnacentral:tRNA from 1 species
GUCCCCGUAGCUCAACGGAUAGAGUAGUCGCGUCCUAAGCGAUUGAUACGGGUUCGAUUCCUGUCGGGGACG